rnacentral:misc_RNA from 1 species
GCCCCACCCCUCCCCUCGCUAUCGCCGGCGCUGUGGCUGCGGCCCUCCUUCCCUCAUUCGCUGCGCCUUCAUCUCUUCUACCACCCUCUCCCUCGUCCACUCUCCGCGCGCGUCCACACGGCAUCGCGUGCCUGCGCGCUGUCGGGUCUUGCUCGUGUGUUGCCGCCCCGCUGCUUUCGGUAGGCACGUGCGGUUUCCAUAGAGCUCCUCUCUUUGCACAUGAAGGCCUCCCCUUGCCGGCUGGCCGCCUCUCGCCCUCCCGCAGCGGCGCGCCUCUACCGCGCCUAUGGUCCCGUGCACCUGCUGCCGCGCACUACGGCUAUGCGGCGGCUGGCGGCGGCGUCCGUAAUGAUGGCAACCGCUGGCUCGCUUGGCGAGACGCUGCUGUCGUCUGCCGCCGUUUCGGCCGGAGGCGCCGCGCACUCGGCGACGGGCGGCUCGACGGCGCUGCUGCAGCACCGUCGCUGGCAGUCCGGCGGAGGCUCGAAGAAGGACCUAUACUCGGUGCUAGGCGUGGCGCGAAACGCAACACCGGAGCAGAUCAAGUCCGCCUACAAGAAGCGCGCCAAGGCGCUGCACCCCGAUGUGAACCCAAGCCCCACCGCCGCUGAGGACUUUGCGGAGGCGAAGCAGGCCUACGAGACCCUCUCCGAUCCGCAGAAACGCAGCUUGUACGACAUGACUGGCAACGCCAGCGCCGCCGGCGGCUUCGGUGGGCCCGGCGGGACGGGCGGCGGCUUUAACCCCUUCGGCGCCGGCGGCAAUCCGUUCGCGGCGGGUGGUAACCCGUUCGCGAACAUGGGCGGUGCUAACCAGCCCGGCGGCGGCCAGGGCGGCUUCUCCUUCAACGACUUCGAGGAGAUCUUCCAGAAGAUGAGCAACAGCGGCAAGGACAAGACCCGCAAGCCGCAAGGACCGGAGCCUGGCGCGGACAUCCAUUACAAGCUCGUGCUCAGCUUCCUCGACGCCGUCAACGGGUGCCAGAAGGAAAUCAGCUACAACACGAUGCGCCGGUGCGGGGCGUGCACCGGCAGCGGCUGCCAGGACACCGGGUCGCGCACGAAAUGCCCGCACUGCGGCGGCCGCGGCAAGAAGGUGAUGUCCACCGGCUUCUUCCACAUGCAGCAGGACUGCACCCACUGCGGUGGCACAGGCGAGCUUGGUCGAACGACGUGCACGCAGUGUAGCGGUAAGGGCAUCGUAAAGGACCGCAGCGUGCAGACGCUACCGGUGCCGAAAGGUGUGGACAACAAGGAGCGGUUGAAGGUGACAGGCAAGGGCGAGGCUGGUGUGCGCAACGGCCCGCCUGGAAACCUCUACAUUGAAAUCUCCGUCGAGGACGACCCUGUCUUCCACCGCGAGGGCAGCGACAUCCACGUUAUCACCCCCAUCACGCUCUCCACCGCGGUGCUCGGUGGCACGGCGCGGGUGCCGACCCUCACAGGCGAGGUCGAGACUCGGGUUCCUGUCGGCACGCAGCAGGGCGACAAGCUCGUGCUGCGCGGCCGCGGCGUGCACCGGCCGAAUCACAACAAGACGGGCGACUUCUACAUCCACUUUGCCGUCAUGCUGCCGAAGGAGCUCACGGAGGAGCAGAAGAAGGCCAUCGCCGACUUUUCCAAGGAUGAAAGGCCGCUCCACCUCAACGACGCCCAGCUGCAGGAGCUCAAGGGGCGCUACCGUUCUUGGUUCGCGACGUAGAGGGGUCAUUGGUUUCACCGACUGGUGGGGCGCCUCUGCGUGCGUGUGUGUGUGUGUGUGUGCCCGUGUGCGAGGAGUGUUGAUUUCUUGUCUGCAUGUAUGUGGCCUUCUUCUUACCGGUGCGGCUUGUGUUUUGAUAAUGGCGGCGGCGGCAGCGGGGGGGGGGGGGUUACGCGGAGGUUGAUCGGAGCAGGCGACUGGCGGUUGAUCUGAUUUGCAGGCGGUGAUGACAUUGUCGCCGACACAGGCGCACGCCGAUGCGCAUGCACGUGGGCGCGGGAUGGUGUGCUCGUUGGCUUUAGUCACAUUCCUUUCCUUUGGCUCAGUUUGUUUCUGGGUGUUUUUCGUCGUGAGGGGCUGAGGGGAGUGCGGGGCUGCGGGCCUUUGCAUUUUCGAAGCGGACAGGUGAGACUGUGUACAGUGAGCGACACGCGUGAGAUGCGAUGGGUCGGUGAAUAUGCGGAGGGUCGGUGGUGGUGUGUGGUGGUGUGAUGCUGUGCGUGUGCGUGUGGGGGCGUAGCGGUGUUUGUCUUACCACCUCGUCCCGAACACGCAGACACACACGCGGGAGACGACGGCGGCGGCCCUUUGGCGUGGCCUCCCAGCGCCACGUCCUCCUUUGUUCUCGUAACGGAAGUGCACUACGAACGCCUCCUGCCUCCCUCCACGAGGGCCAUCACACACACGCACACUCCAUCCAACCUCCCAACCCGAACCCCCCGACCGCUGCUGAGGGGUCUCUUGUGUGUCCGUGCGUGUGCGCGUGUUAAUGCGCGAGUUGCAUAUUCGUUUCAUUUUCGUUAAACUCGGUCCAUCUCUCUGCCAUGCGAGAUGCGUUCCAGUCCACACCGCCCUCUCACGGCCCUGUCACAGGCCCCCUCCCGCUCCCCCCUCUCCGCGUGGUGCCAAGCAGCCGUAGGCGGUGUGAGGGGGGCCCAGGUCGGGGAGACACGCUCCAGCCACGCUGGCACGUCGCCCGCCCAUAUGGAUCGUACAAGCGUGUGCACGGCCGCCGGUCGCUCUGACCUCCCCCUCUCACGCCCUAGGCACCCUGGCCCUGCCACCACGCGAAGUGGCCCGGCGCCGGCGAGGGGAUAGGAGGGGGUGGAGGGGGGCUCUGCUCGGCUUCCAGCCGGAGAGUGGGCGUGCACUGGCCGCUGAGGCACCACGCGCUGAGGUGUGCGCACCCCCUCCCCCACCCGUCAUCCGGAUGCACGAGUUCCACAGAAGAAGAUGUGGAACGAGGGGGGCGUGGGCCUGAGGUAGUGCGGUGAAUGCUCUCGUACCGUGCAGCACCGAUAUGUCCUUCUGUAUGAUAUCUUGCUCGCCGGAUACUGCCGGCACCAACGGGCAUCUCCUCUGUGUGUGUGUGUGUGUUUGUGUGCAAGUAUCCGCACCCCGCUCCACACAUCUACACACCGACGCGCGACGGGGAGAGGUGUCGACGGAAUCUCAUCAAGCACCCUCACGGUGGACCGCCGAGCCGGUGUGUCGCAUGCCCACCUCCGCUUCUUCCUCGUCCUUCCUCCUCUGCUUUGUGUGGUGAUUCUCGACUUCUCCUUCGCGUAG